rfam:Schistosoma mansoni strain Puerto Rico chromosome 4, complete genome
AUCCAGCUGAUGAGUUUCGAAUAGGACGAAAUGCAUGUCCUGGAU